rnacentral:rRNA from 1 species
AUUGAACGCUGGCGGCAGGCCUAACACAUGCAAGUCGAGCGGAUGAAGGGAGCUUGCUCCUGGAUUCAGCGGCGGACGGGUGAGUAAUGCCUAGGAAUCUGCCUGGUAGUGGGGGAUAACGUCCGGAAACGGGCGCUAAUACCGCAUACGUCCUGAGGGAGAAAGUGGGGGAUCUUCGGACCUCACGCUAUCAGAUGAGCCUAGGUCGGAUUAGCUAGUUGGUGGGGUAAAGGCCUACCAAGGCGACGAUCCGUAACUGGUCUGAGAGGAUGAUCAGUCACACGGGAACUGAGACACGGUCCAGACUCCUACGGUAGGCAGCAGUGGCGAAUAUUGGACAAUGGGCGAAAGCCUGAUCCAGUCAUGCCGCGUGUGUGGAGAAAGUCUUCGGAUUGUAAAGCCCUUUAAGUUGGGAGGAAGGGCAGUAAGUUAAUACCUAGCUGUUUUGACGGUACCAACAGAAUAAGCACCGGCUAACUUCGUG